rnacentral:rRNA from 1 species
GACGAGCCACACGAACGUUAUUCGGAAUUACUGGGCUUAAAGGGUGCGUAGGCGGCGCGGAAAGUUGGGUGUGAAAUCCCUCGGCUCAACCGAGGAACUGCGCCCAAAACUACCGUGCUCGAGGAAGAUAGAGGCGAGCGGAACUUACGGUGGAGCGGUGAAAUGCGUUGAUAUCGUAAGGAACACCCGUGGCGAAAGCGGCUCACUGGGUCUUCUCUGACGCUGAUGCACGAAAGCUAGGGGAGCAAACGGG